UCCUCGUGUAGGCUUGCAAAAUGAUUGAAGAAGACCAUUUUCGGUGAACGGAUGGACCACAGACCUUUGGUAGUGUACAAUAUGUAGCGAGUGUUUGGUGUUACUUAAACUCAGUUACGCACUCUGUGCGUCAAGCUCAUCGUGGAUGGGCCCUCAAAGAAGAAGGGUAGUGCGGGCGGCGUGCAAACCAUCUAUGCGACCAGGUGCGUAUACACCGUGUCUGCAUGGUACCGUCGAGCCUCGGGCAACAUCGCUGGAGCACAUUGUGAAUGUGUUGCAAGGUUGAGUGAGACGUGCCAGCACGUUGCCGGCCUCUUACCGUUGCCGACAAGGGGGCUGUGCGUGGGAAAACAAGCCGUCAUGCACGGACUUGCCAUGCAAGUGGAUUGUUCCUUCAGAAGCAAGGAAACCAGCAGCAAAACGUCCACUGCAGGAAAUUCCUUUCCAUAGGAACGUUAUCAACAAGCCACCAUGUCCAAAACGGCUACGUGAUUACAACCCGAGCCAGAAGGUGACUUCUGAUGCUGAUAUUUCCAAGCUGAAGGCAAGCCUUGUGACUGCGUGCCCAACACUGCAUGCAGUGCGAUACAUGUGCCCCCGCGAAACUCAGCUGGUCACGAAAGCAGCCGCAGAUGUACGUUUGGAAAUUGGUGACGAGGAAGA